rnacentral:rRNA from 1 species
AUUGAACGCUGGCGGCAGGCCUAACACAUGCAAGUCGAGCGGCAGCGGGAAAGUAGCUUGCUACUUUUGCCGGCGAGCGGCGGACGGGUGAGUAAUGCCUGGGGAUCUGCCCAGUCGAGGGGGAUAACAGUUGGAAACGACUGCUAAUACCGCAUACGCACUACGAGGGAAAGGAGGGGACCUUCGGGCCUUUCGCGGUUGGAUGAACCUAGGUGGGAUUAGCUAGUUGGUGGGGUAAUGGCUCACCAAGGCGACGAUCCCUAGCUGGUCUGGGAGGAUGAUCAGCCACACUGGAACUGAGACGCGGUCCAGACUCCUACGGGAGGCAGCAGUGGGGAAUAUUGCACAAUGGGGGAAACCCUGAUGCAGCCAUGCCGCGUGUGUGAAGAAGGCCUUCGGGUUGUAAAGCACUUUCAGCGAGGAGGAAAGGUUGUUGGCUAAUACCCAGCAACUGUGACGUUACUCGCAGAAGAAGCACCGGCUAACUCCGUGCCAGCAGCCGCGGUAAAAC